rnacentral:lncRNA from 1 species
CUAUAUGAUUAAAUGCAAAGAAAACAUCACCAAAAAUAAUUUUGUUUCCCACGCUUAAACUUUCAAACAACAAAGAGUGAUGUAUCUGUAAAGCCCAGAAAGAUGGACAUCGAUAUUUACUAAAAAACUAAAAGACCGAUAUUAAAUUCAGAAUUUGACAGCAUUAACGAAGAAAUCCAAACACAUGCAUAGGACUCAAAUCUAUGACUAAAGCAGAGACUGUGGCCUGCUAACCGAGAACCAGAUCAACAUAUCUUGUGCAGCAGCAAAUUGUUCAUUUUCUAUUACAUUACUGGUCGAAACAGAAGUAUCAAUGGUGGAGACAAUUCCCUUCCACAUCAACCAAGUCCUCUGACAUAUUGAUCAAUAUUUGUGUCAAACAGCUCACAUCUGCACAAACAAGGGAAACAUAUCUAAUUAACAUCGAUAUAUCGAAUACUACCAAAAAAAAGUAUGAAUUGUGUGAUCAAUAUGAAGAAUACACAGCUCUCACGACUAAUAAACUAAACAAGAUUCUCCUGCCGCAUUUUCCUGUUUUUAAAUCAAACUAGUCAGAGCUGAUAUAAACUAAAACAUAGGCAGUGGUUCCAAGAAGAAAUGCACAAGUUGCUCAACACAGCCUCUACAGGAAUAAAUCUGUCAGAAACAUGAUAAUCAAGGGCAACAGAUGAUAGACAAAACAUAAAACUGUUCAGUACAACCUAAACUUUUCUUAGGCGAGGAAAAACUUCAUUGGAGAAACAUUUCCCUUAUUACUACACUAACUAAAAUCAUCAUACAUUUUAAACUUUGG